ACGAGGCCAUCUUAGCUCCACCUGUGCGUAUGGCACACACACAGGAUGAUUCCAGCAUCUACCAUUCUUCGAGCUACCUGUACCUUCAGAGCGUUUGUCCGAAGUUGGGACACCCCCGCUACGGUGCUCAAACUUUGUGUAGUGGAGACUACCCGGACAAAGUGCUUCACCUGCGAAAUGCACGGGCAUUUCAUUGAGAAAUGUUGCGUGGUUUGGGAUGCAGUUUGUAUACGAAAAAUUAAAAUGUUUGAAGAGGACUGUCACCUCUUCCAAAUGUUUGAGGGGGGCUGUCGCCUCUUCCAAAUGUUUGAGGGGGACUGUCACCUCUUCCAAAGUCUUGAGGAGGACGCGUCCCCGAAUCCUCGUAGGCCGUAGAGCCCGUGCUCGAACCAGCUUCAAGUCCGCACGAGGAAAAAGUAUUGACCCAACAUUUGAUCAUUGAUGAACCGCAACAGCAUUUGAAAACAUUUUUAAGCAUGCAAAAAAGGAACAAAUUCUCGUAUCUAAAAGUAGUUCAACAUUAGCUUCCUUUUCUAAUUAAUAUGGUUCACACUUGUGUU